AACGAACGCUGGCGGCAUGCCUAACACAUGCAAGUCGAACGAGACCUUCGGGUCUAGUGGCGCACGGGUGCGUAACGCGUGGGAACCUGCCCUUAGGUUCGGAAUAACUCCCCGAAAGGGGUGCUAAUACCGGAUAAUGUCUUCGGACCAAAGAUUUAUCGCCUUUGGAUGGGCCCGCGUUGGUUUAGCUAGUUGGUAGGGUAAAAGCCUACCAAGGCGACGAUCCAUAGCUGGUCUGAGAGGAUGAUCAGCCACACUGGGACUGAGACACGGCCCAGACUCCUACGGGAGGCAGCAGUGGGGAAUAUUGGACAAUCGGCGAAAUCCUGAUCCAGCAAUGCCGCGUGAGUGAUGAAGGCCUUAGGGUUGUAAAGCUCUUUUACCCGGGAUGAUAAUGACAGUACCGGGAGAAUAAGCUCCGGCUAACUCCGUG
rnacentral:rRNA from 1 species